rnacentral:rRNA from 1 species
GUGGGGAAUCUUGCGCAAUGGGCGAAAGCCUGACGCAGCGACGCCGCGUGAGUGAUGAAGGCCCUCGGGUUGUAAAGCUCUGUGGAGGGGGAAGAAUAAGGGUGACCUAAUACGUCAUCCGAUGACGGUACCCCUUUAGCAAGCACCGGCUAACUCUGUGCCAGCAGCCGCGGUAAGACAGAGGGUGCAAACGUUGUUCGGAAUUACUGGGCGUAAAGCGCGUGUAGGCGGCUUGGCAAGUCGGGUGUGAAAGCCCUGGGCUCAACCUAGGAAGUGCACUCGAAACUGCCUCGCUCGAGUAUCGGAGAGGAAAGCGGAAUUCUCGGUGUAGAGGUGAAAUUCGUAGAUAUCGAGAGGAACACCGGUGGCGAAGGCGGCUUUCUGGACGGUUACUGACGCUGAGACGCGAAAGCGUGGGGAGCAAACAGGAUUAGAAACCCGAGUAGUCC